AUACGGAGGGUGCGAGCGUUAAUCGGAAUUACUGGGCGUAAAGGGUGCGUAGGCGGCUUGAUAAGUCGGAUGUGAAAGCCCCGGGCUUAACCUGGGAAUUGCAUUCGAUACUGUCAGGCUAGAGUAUGUCAGAGGUUGGCGGAAUUCCUAGUGUAGCGGUGAAAUGCGUAGAUAUCAGGAGGAACACCAGUGGCGAAGGCGGCUAACUGGGGCAAUGCUGACGCUGAGGCACGAAAGCGUGGGGAGCAAACAGGAUUAGAAACCCUAGUAGUCC
rnacentral:rRNA from 1 species